CCUUUCUCAAACCUCGUAGUCGUAGGAGAGAUCUUACGUCUAAAACCCCGAACGAAACGCAAAACCCUCGUGACAAAACGAAGCCCCUCCUCAUACUCACUGGCCAACCCAAAACCCAAAGUCAUGUCAUUCGCCGCCGCCAGGUCCGUCCUCCGCUCCACAUCGGCACGAACCGCCUCGGCGGCGAGGCUUACUGCCGGAGCCGGAGCUAGGGCCAGACCCGCAAGUUCACCAUUUCGUAUCCCCAAACAAAACCCUAUCGCACAUCGCAUUUUCAGGUCUCCUGUGGAGAUGAGCUGCUGUGUGGAAACGCUGCUUCCGUAUCACACUGCCACUGCUUCCGCAUUGCUCAACUCCAUGCUCUCCGCCUCUCUUCGCAGCUACUGUUGGACUCCUGAAGCUUGCAAUGAUGAUGUGUGAUGAAUGGCAGAAGAUUCGAGCAAAGUUUUAUGUACAUGCACUCUAAGACAAGAUGGAUGAUUGUUGUUGGGGUGCCGUAUCUUGAUCAUAAUUUCCAUGGAUUUCAAUGGACUUUGUAAGACUUGCUUGAGGCAUUAUUCUCAAUGAUCGGAUAUGAAAGUCAAAAGAUUAAUAGUCGUUCUACAGGCACUGAAGAAGUAGGUAUCAUAAUGAGACUAGAUUGUUCUUAUCUUUUCAAAUAUUGCAUACGGUGCUAGAUCAACUCUCUUGUACGAGUUAUGGAUGAUUAUCUCUUCAAGAAAUGUUUGCAUUACUUCACGUA